rnacentral:rRNA from 1 species
UACGGGGGGGGCAAGCGUUGUUCGGAAUUACUGGGCGUAAAGGGCUCGUAGGCGGCCAACUAAGUCAGACGUGAAAUCCCCAGGCUCAACCUGGGAACUGCGUCUGAUACUGGAUGGCUUGAAUUCGGGAGAGGGAUGCAGAAUUCCAGGUGUAGCGGUGAAAUGCGUAGAUAUGUGGAGGAAUACCGAUGGCGAAGGCAGCCCCCUGGGAUAACACUGACGCUCAUGCACGAAAGCGUGGGGAGCAAACAGG